rnacentral:rRNA from 1 species
UUCUGGCUCAGGACGAACGCUGGCGGCGUGCCUAACACAUGCAAGUCGAGCGAUGAAGUUCUUCGGAACGGAUUAGCGGCGGACGGGUGAGUAACACGUGGGUAACCUGCCUUGUAGAGGGGGAUAGCCUUCCGAAAGGAAGAUUAAUACCGCAUAAUAUCUUUUUAUCGCAUGGUAGAAAGAUCAAAGGAGCAAUCCGCUACAAGAUGGACCCGCGGCGCAUUAGCUAGUUGGUGAGGUAACGGCUCACCAAGGCGACGAUGCGUAGCCGACCUGAGAGGGUGAUCGGCCACAUUGGAACUGAGACACGGUCCAGACUCCUACGGGAGGCAGCAGUGGGGAAUAUUGCGCAAUGGGGGGAAAAACCCCUGACGCAGCAACGCCGCGUGAAUGAAGAAGGCCUUAGGGUUGUAAAGUUCUGUUUACGGGGACGAUAAUGACGGUACCCGUGGAGGAAGCCACGGCUAACUACGUGCCAGCCGCUGC